rnacentral:ribozyme from 1 species
AUAAGAUAGUUGUUCUGUAAAAGGGUUGGAUCCGACGCCUCUAGAAGGCUACUAUACUACUAGAAGGCCUCUAGAAGGCUCUCCUUCUCAGCUCCUACUCAAUACGUCCACGACGUGCAGAACGGUAACUUGUCGCAUAGAUCCAAGCUUGGGUACACGGGGGAAACCCAACCCCUUGGGCGGAUGGGCGACAAGGCAGAAUUGAGAGGU